rnacentral:rRNA from 1 species
GCCUGGGAUGCCCUCCUCCAGGACAUCGCCCUUCUCCCGAUGAGCGUCAACAACACCCCGGACGCCAUCUCUGGGCGUCUGGAGUCUUCCGGCUGCUUCACCACCAAAUCCCUGUACGCAGCCAUCGCCCCCUCGCCCGCCCCCAAGCCCUUCAGUCUGAUCUGGGACAUCCGCUUGCCCCUGAAAAUCAGGAUCUUCCUGUGGCAAUGGAUUCAUGGCCGCCUCCCUUCCGGAGUAGAGGUCCUCAAGCGUAAUGGACCCAGAGAUGGGCUUUGCCCCCUGUGCGGCACGCUGGAAGAUGCUAAUCACAUCUUCUUCACGUGCUCCACGGCCCAGUUUCUUUGGUCCAGUUUCCGCGAGACGGUUGGAGGCCAGUGGUGCAACUCCAACUUUCCUGACCUUCUCGCAGAGAUCCAUGCCUCCCCCUUCACUACCAACAUAUCAGAUGGCUCUGUGUUGGGGUCCUCGCCUGGACGCUUUGGACUGUUUUCAAUAAGCUAUUCAUCCAAAAGGUGCCUCUUAGACGCGCUACUGACGCCAUUUUUAAAUUGUGUGGGUACUUGCAGCUUUGGCGGCCGCUUAGCCGCCCUCAGGAUCGGGACAUCAUCAACACCCUCCUCGCCGACCUUCGGUCGCUCACCUUUCGCUUGGCGCCUCUGCUACCUCCCCUCCGCCCCCGAGCCCGACUAG